rnacentral:rRNA from 1 species
GAGGAAAGUAGGGGAUCGUAAGACCUAGCGUUGAUGGAGCGGCCGAUAUCUGAUUAGCUAGUUGGUGGGGUAAAGGCCUACCAAGGCGACGAUCAGUAGCUGGUCUGAGAGGACGACCAGCCACACUGGAACUGAGACACGGUCCAGACUCCUACGGGAGGCAGCAGUGGGGAAUUUUGGACAAUGGGGGCAACCCUGAUCCAGCCAUUCCGCGUGAGCGAAGAAGGCCUUCGGGUUGUAAAGCUCUUUCGCAAGGGAAGAAAACUCGAUCUCUAAUAUAGGUUGAGGCUGACGGUACCUUGAUAAGAAGCACCGGCUAACUACGUGCCAGCAGCCGCGGUAAUACGUAGGGUGCGAGCGUUAAUCGGAAUUACUGGGCGUAAAGCGUGCGCAGGCGGUUUUGAAAGUCAGAUGUGAAAUCCCCGGGCUCAACCUGGGAACUGCGUUUGAAACUACAAAGCUAGAAUCACUAGUGAA